rnacentral:lncRNA from 1 species
CUGAGGGGGCAGGUUAUGGUGUGUGGAUGUGCACAGCAAUGCUAAGGAGGGGAAGAAAAGAGGUGAAAUGCAAGCAUUGAGAUCCUGAGACUUUAGUUUAGAGAAAGAUUUGCAGAAGGAAUAGGUUACAUACAUAUUAUCUGUUCAGGCCAGGAUAUAAUCCCUAUUUCUGUUAGGAAGAUAUCCAUAGUAUAAAAAAUAUGCAUUUGUAUUAUGAUAUAAAAUAAUGUUACAUAAAUAGUAGUGCUACGAAUUUGCAAGUGUCAAGAAAGACAGAAUAAGGCUUCCAGAUUUGUAGUAAAAUGAAAUUAGAAACAUUGUCUCUACCCAGAGGAGCCAGCUUGAAGUAGAUAGCAAAACAGAAAUUCAUCCCACCUGAGGAUUUCUUCUCCCUAAAGACAGGUAAGGCUCCCAGACCUUCACACAUCUGAGCACAGAUCUGCUACCAAGGCUGACAGAAAUAAAGAGAUGGAAACAGCUUUGGGCUAAAAGUUUUCUCCUCAAGAGAGAUCAUUUUCUCAUGCCUGUCUGCAGGAGGUUGGUGUCUUUCCACACUCUACUUUCCAAGAAACAGAAAAAAAGGACUCUUGAAGUAUUGAGAAAAAUCAAGAGAAAGGAAUGUAUGCCUUCUUGGUAAAGACUGUCCAGGGUAACUGUUUUGAAGAAGGGCUAAGACCAAAUACAUAAAGGGAAGAGUAGACUGCUACCAGGAGCAGACCAAUUGCCAAGGUGAGCACUUUUCACAAGUUUCUGCCUUACUUAUCCAGAUUUUCUUGAAUUACUUUAUGAUAAGUUUGAUCACCUUUCCUUAACAAGUAUAGUCUCAACUAUAACAAGAAAUAACCCCAAGAUUUUAAUGAAAGAAAGCAAAUUUUUACAUUUCCAGCAAAUUGGUUAGUUGGAAAAAUAAGUAAUAUGUUAUGAUAAAAAUUCAUGCUAACAAUGAAGGAGUUAAUUAAGUAAACCAUUCACAAUGUUUUAACAGUUACAAAUGAAAAUUGGAAACUGUCACUGCCUGGGAUGUUUUGUAAUACAGACACCACCUAGAAAAAGAAAGAAGAAAAGGAAAACUCCAGUUGAGUUUGUCUGAAUCUGUCAUUCACAAACUUACCUGAAUACAGUAUAUAAGAGUUAGUCUGAACUGAUCAGAUAG